rnacentral:misc_RNA from 1 species
AUUGACAAUGUUGAGGAGAUGCUCCCUAUCGUUUACACUCCAACUGUUGGUGAGGCGUGCCAGAAAUAUGGAAGUAUCUUCGGUCGUCCUCAGGGUCUUUACAUCAGUUUGAAAGAAAAGGGUAGAAUUCUUGAGGUGCUGAGGAACUGGCCUGAGAAGAAUAUUCAAGUCAUUGUUGUGACUGAUGGUGAGCGUAUUCUGGGCCUUGGGGACCUUGGAUGUCAGGGUAUGGGGAUACCUGUUGGAAAACUCUCUUUAUAUACUGCACUUGGUGGAGUCCGUCCUUCAGCUUG